rnacentral:rRNA from 1 species
UCGAACGAAGCGAUCGGGAGGAAGUUUUCGGAUGGAAUCCGGAUUGACUGAUUGGCGGACGGGUGAGUAACGCGUGGGUAACCUGCCUCAUACAGGGGGAUAACAGUUAGAAAUGACUGCUAAUACCGCAUAAGCGCACAGGGAUGCAUGUCCUGGUGUGAAAAACUCCGGUGGUAUGAGAUGGACCCGCGUCUGAUUAGCUGGUUGGCGGGGUAACGGCCCACCAAGGCGACGAUCAGUAGCCGACCUGAGAGGGCGACCGGCCACAUUGGGACUGAGACACGGCCCAAACUCCUACGGGAGGCAGCAGUGGGGAAUAUUGCACAAUGGGGGAAACCCUGAUGCAGCAACGCCGCGUGAGUGAAGAAGUAUUUCGGUAUGUAAAGCUCUAUCAGCAGGGAAGAAGAUGACGGUACCUGAGUAAGAAGCCCCGGCUAACUACGUGCCAGCAGCCGCGGUAAUACGUAGGGGGCAAGCGUUAUCCGGAUUUACUGGGUGUAAAGGGAGCGUAGACGGUGAGACAAGUCUGAAGUGAAAGCCCGGGGCUCAACCCCGGGACUGCUUUGGAAACUGCCUGACUGGAGUGCUGGAGAGGCAAGCGGAAUUCCUAGUGUAGCGGUGAAAUGCGUAGAUAUUAGGAAGAACACCAGUGGCGAAGGCGGCUUGCUGGACAGUAACUGACGUUGAGGCUCGAAAGCGUGGGGAGCA